rnacentral:rRNA from 1 species
UACGAGGGGGGCGAGCGUUGUUCGGAAUUAUUGGGCGUAAAGGGUGCGUAGGCGGUUCCGCAAGUCCUGUGUGAAAUCUUCGGGCUCAACUCGAAGUCUGCACGGGAAACUGCGGGGCUUGAGUGUGGGAGAGGUGAGUGGAAUUCCCGGUGUAGCGGUGAAAUGCGUAGAUAUCGGGAGAAUACCUGUGGCGAAAGCGGCUCACUGGACCAUAACUGACGCUGAGGCGCGAAAGCUAGGGGAGCAAACAGG